rnacentral:lncRNA from 1 species
AUGACCUGUACCGGCGGUGCCCAGCGGCUGGGUGGUCAGGGCAGGCUCCCCGGAGGCGGCGGCGGCGGCCCGGGCCCGGCACGCGGGACCGGUAAGGCGACCCUGCCUAAUGGGCUCGGAAACAAGCGUUGGGGCCCGACCGGGCCGAGGGCGGGGCCCGGGCGAAGGCGGUGGGCUGAGGCCGAGGUCCGGGCGGGGGCGGCCGGCGAGUUAGGGUUAGGGCGAGAGGAUUCGGCUUCCCGGCGGCAGAGGGCGCCUGGCGCUGCGGUCCGGCGCGCCGGAGCCGCCCGCGCGGGCGCCGAGAGGAGAGGCGAGGCGAGGCGGGGAGCGCGAGCGACGGCGGCCACUGCCACGUAUUCCCGGCAGUGGCGGCGGCGGCGGCGGUGGCGGCGGCACGGGAGGAGCUUUUGCCUUCCCACCCCAACGCCCAGUGCACACAGUGAAUAUUCCAGGCCCUGCCAUCUUCUGAAAGGGAGAACAAAACCAGAAGCCAGAGAGGACAGUCUUUGAAAGAAGGUUGAAGAUGGAUGAGGAAUAACCCAAGUCACCUUUCCUGGAAAUCAGUUUGCUGCAAGCCUUGAAACUGCAGUUCUUGGAGUUGAAGAAAAG